rnacentral:misc_RNA from 1 species
GAUGAAGAACGUAGCGAAAUGCGAUAAGUAAUGUGAAUUGCAGAAUUCAGUGAAUCAUCGAAUCUUUGAACGCACAUUGCGCCAGCCAGUAUUCUGGCGGGCAUGCCUGUUCGAGCGUCAUUUCAACCAUCAAGCCCCCGGCUUGUGUUGGGGACCUGCGGCUGCCGCAGGCCCUGAAAACCAGUGGCGGGCUCGCUAGUCACUCCGAGCGUAGUAAUACAUCUCGCUCAGGGCGUGCUGCGGGUUCCGGCCGUUAAAAAGCCUUAUUUACCCAAGGUUGACCUCGGAUCAGGUAGGAAGACCCGCUGAACUUAAGCAUAUCAAUAAGCGGAGGA